rnacentral:lncRNA from 1 species
CUUCUACUUACUUUAUAAGACCAUAAAAAAACAAAACAAGGUAAUUUUAAAAAAUAAAGAAUAUAAAUAUAUGUAGGCAUAAGUUUGGACUUGAUUGGAAUAAAAAUUAAUUCAAAAGAAAACAAUUUGAUAUCCAAAGAGGAUCAAUUAUCAACCUAGGUCAAAAUCACAUUUCAAGAUACAAAAUCAAGCACCAAUGGCAAUUUGGGGGUCUUUGGCAAAUCAAAGAGUGAAGUUUGAGGUCAAACUUAAUGAGAUUUUUUGAGCAUUUUCUUUGAAGGAAUGGAGUGUAUAAUGACUUUAUAAGAGCUUUGCAAAAUCAUAGUUGUUUGAAGUGACUUUGGAAUUUAUAAAAUAAAAAGAAUAUUAUAUUUUGGAGAAUUUCAUGAAUUUGGUAGUAGAUCUAUG